AUGAACAAAGCUAGUGGAGGUGAUGGAAUUCCAGUUGAGCUAUUUCAAAUCCUGAAAGAUGAUGCUGUGAAAGUGCUGCACUCAAUAGGCCAGCAAAUUUGGAAAACUCAGCAGUGGCCACAGGACUGGAAAAAGUCUGUUUUCAUUCCAAUCCCAAAGAAAGGCAAUGCCAAAGAAUGCUCAAACUAUCACACAAUUGCACUCAUCUCACAUGCUAGUAAAGUAUUGUUCAAAAUUCUCCAAGCCAGGCUUCAGCAAUACGUGAACUAUGAACUUCCUGAUGUUCAAGUUGGUUUUAGAAAAGGCAGAGGAACCAGAGAUCAAAUUGCCAACAUCCACUGGAUCAUGGAAAAAGCAAGAGAGUUCCAGAAAAACAUCUAUUUCUGCUUUAUUGACUAUGCCAAAGCCUUUGACCGUGUGGAUCACAAUAAACUGUGGAAAAUUCUUCAAGAGAUGGGAAUACCAGACCACCUGACCUGCCUCUUGAGAAAUCUGUAUGCAGGUCAGGAAGCAGCAGUUAGAACUGGACAUGGAACAACAGACUGGUCCCAAAUAGGAAAAGGAGUAUGUCAGGGCUGUAUAUUGUUACCCUGCUUAUUUAACUUCUAUGCAGAGUACAUCAUGAGAAACGCUGGGCUGGAAGAAGCACAAGCUGGAAUGAAGAUUGCCGGGAGAAAUAUCAAUAACCUCAGAUAUGCAGAUUACACCACCCUUAUGGCAGAAAGUGAAGAGGAACUAAAAAGCCUCUUGAUGAAAGUGAAAGUGGAGAGUGAAAAAGUUGGCUUAAAGCUCAACAUUCAGAAAACGAAGAUCAUGGCAUCCGGUCCCAUCACUCCAUGGGAAAUAGAUGGGGAAACAGUGGAAACAGUGUCAGACUUUAUUUUGGGGGGCUCCAAAAUCACUGCAGAUGGUGACUGCAGCCAUGAAAUUAAAAGCUGCUUACUCCUUGGAAGAAAAGUUAUGACCAACCUAGAUAGUAUAUUCAAAAGCAGAGACAUUACUUUGCCGACUAAGGUCUGUCUAGUCAAGGCUAUGGUUUUUCCUGUGGUCAUGUAUGGAUGUGAGAGUUGGACUGUGAAGAAGGCUGAGCACUGA
rnacentral:lncRNA from 1 species